AUUGAACGCUGGCGGCAGGCCUAACACAUGCAAGUCGAGCGGAUGAAGGGAGCUUGCUCCUGGAUUCAGCGGCGGACGGGUGAGUAAUGCCUAGGAAUCUGCCUGGUAGUGGGGGAUAACGUCCGGACACGGGCGCUAAUACCGCAUACGUCCUGAGGGCGUAAGUGGGGGAUCUUCGGACCUCACGCUAUCAGAUGAGCCUAGGUCGGAUUAGCUAGUUGGUGGGGUAAAGGCCUACCAAGGCGACGAUCCGUAACUGGUCUGAGAGGAUGAUCAGUCACACUGGAACUGAGACACGGUCCAGACUCCUACGGGAGGCAGCAGUGGGGAAUAUUGGACAAUGGGCGAAAGCCUGAUCCAGCCAUGCCGCGUGUGUGAAGAAGGUCUUCGGAUUGUAAAGCACUUUAAGUUGGGAGGAAGGGCAGUAAGUUAAUACCUUGCUGUUUUGACGUUACCAACAGAAUAAGCACCGGCUAACUUCGUG
rnacentral:rRNA from 1 species